CGUGUGGAGCCUGCAGAGGUGUGAAGGACAAGGCCCUGCCCUCAAGAAGGUCACAGUCAUACAGAGCUGGUUAUAGCGAAUAUGGUGAAGUGAUCUCAGGGAAAAGAGGGGAAGGCAGAGAACCCUGGCUGCUGGCAGAGCAACUCACCGAUGAAGGC